AUCUGUGAGCAGCACAGGCUUAUUAUGGAGGGCAAUGGGGACAAUGGUUUUACCAAGAAGGACAGUGCAGAUCCUGCAGCUCGGGAGUCAACCUAGUGAAUAGUUACAGAGGAACCCACAGGGUCUCUUGCUGUGUAUUAGCAAGGGAAAGGAACAGAACAUGAGGGCUCUUAUCAGUUAAUUCAUGAUAAAGAUAUUUGCCUGAAGGAAGUUUGUAACACCUGAUGCUAUGCAUGGAUGGAGAUUUUGCUGCUAUUCCACAGCAUACUGUGUUCUCACAAGUGCCUAUUACCCUUUCUCCUGCCAAAAUGAAUGUUUCUUUUUCAAGUGAGGACACACUGUGAUCCUCCACUACUGUAAUCUCGAUUUUAUCUUGUUCUUCUCCUAGAAGAAAAUGUUUCUCAUGCUUCUCUUUCAUUAAGGAGGAUGAACCACUCUGCAACUCACUGGUAAGAUAAUUUGACUUGUGUUACUUUCUUCCUGCUAAAGCCUUUGUCCUGACAAGGCAGACAGAGAGAAGGGUACGCUGCCAUGUGACGGUAUUCAACUGCUGGGAGAAGCGGGGUUACUGCCCAGUGCUCCUGUGCACUCAACAAGUUUCUCUGUAAUGCCUCCACUGGAACCUGGAUGAACCCUCUCCUAUCACAGAGCCAAAACUCUCAACAGGCUGUUCCUGAAGUGACCCAAUCUAGCUGCACAGUGUCUGCUGAAUGGUUUCUGCUGUGGCCCAGUGGAAUAUUUUCUCUGAGAGAUAUUGCUACCGUGUCCCAUCCCACUGAUGCCAGUAAGAAAACCCUGCCUGACUUCACAGGAGCUGUGAAUAAGGACAAUCAUUUGCCUUUGUGCUUUACUAAAAUGCCCUGCAUGGGAAAACCAUUGUUUUGAUGUUAACAAAAGAACAGGAAAAUACAUAUGCUCAAUCAGGUCUGAAAGCUACACCUGCAGGAAUUCAUUUGUAGGCAGUCAGGGUAACAAUGCUGACAUGAGAGCUUUAACUGAAUGUUGAGCUUGUGAGGGCGACAAACAGGAGUUACGGUUUUAAGAAACACAAUCACCACGGUCUUUCUCUGAAGGCAUUACGUGUCUCAUCACUUCAUCUCCUGCCCUCACACCAUAUUUCUCUCUGUCUCUGUUAGAGGAAGAAAGGACUGUUGUGCAGGAUUAAGGAGCUACCAGCUUUGUGUUCCAAACACCUUCCCAGAAACACUCAUUCCCUCCCCACUGCAGCUAUUAGAAAAUUCCCUUGUUGCUCAUCUGUAGUCCAAAAGCAUUAUCCCAACAGUACCAGCUGAUGAAUUAUUUAGGCAAUGAAUUACAGACUGCAGCAGGGGAAUCCAGGACCUCUUAAUUUAUAAACCUUGCCCCAAGACUGUGCGGCCAAAGGCAAGGCUUUUAACCCAUGCUGUGCUUCAGCUUUUCUUCCCAAGACCUGAAAUACCAAUCCUCUGACUAGAAGGGAGGGUUUCUCCUCUGUGUUGUACUUUGUGUGACCUGCAUCUAACCAAACCUCAGACACAAACCUGCUACUGAACUAUGGUUCUCCAUUCCUAUCGUUUCUUAUUAUUGCAAAAGGUGCAUUUUCUAAAUGCAGAGAGGAGUCAGUAUGCCCCAAAUACCACUCACUGCUGUAGUCCUGCAGUCUUGCACUACACUGAAUGAAAGGGUCAAUCUAUAAUGCUCUAUUUGCCUUUUAUCCCUUUUUGAUGCCUAGCAGAGAAAAUAUCUUGCAGGAACAUAA